CAUUAAGUACUCCGCCUGGGAAGUACGAUCGCAAGAUUAAAACUCAAAGGAAUUGACGGGGGCCCGCACAAGUAGCGGAGCAUGUGGUUUAAUUCGAAGCAACGCGAAGAACCUUACCUGGGCUUGACAUCCCAAGAAUCCUGUGGAAACACGGGAGUGCCCUUCGGGGAACUUGGUGACAGGUGGUGCAUGGUUGUCGUCAGCUCGUGUCGUGAGAUGUUGGGUUAAGUCCCGCAACGAGCGCAACCCUUGUUGUUAGUUGCUACCAUUAAGUUGAGCACUCUAGCAAGACUGCCUGGGUAACCAGGAGGAAGGUGGGGAUGACGUCAAAUCAUCAUGCCCCUUAUGUCCAGGGCUACACACGUGCUACAAUGGUUGGUACAAAGAGAAGCAAGACCGUGAGGUGGAGCAAAUCUCAUAAAACCAAUCUCAGUUCGGAUUGUAGGCUGAAACUCGCCUACAUGAAGCUGGAGUUACUAGUAAUCGCGAAUCAGAAUGUCGCGGUGAAUGCGUUCCCGGGCCUUGUACACACCGCCCGUCACACCAUGAGAGUUGGUAACACCCGAAGUCCGUGAGGUAACCGCAAGGAGCCAGCGGCCGAAGGUGGGAUCGAUGAUUGGGGUGAAGUCGUAACAAGGUAGCCGUAGGAGAACCUGCGGCUGGAUCACCUCCUUUCUAAGGA
rnacentral:rRNA from 1 species